rnacentral:lncRNA from 1 species
AAAAAAAAAAAAGAUAAGUGCUUUACAAGGUCUACUGAUUUUUAACAAGUAACUGAUGUAAACCUUUUUAUUUGCCAGUACAAGUCACAAAAAUUCUUGACUUCAUGUGGAACUUUGGACUUCCUGACUGAAUUAGCCUGAGGAAACAAAAUUGGAUCGUCAUUCUUAGACAUAUUAAGGAAAAAACCACAAUGAAGAUUCCAAGGACCAAGCCAUAGGGACAAACAAAUAUGGUUCCAAAGUAUGAAAGAAAGAAGCAAUUUUCCUAGUCCAACAAAUUAGGCCGGCAAUGAAGAUUCCGAUAAAAGAUUUUAAGAGAGUUGGUUGAGAACAACACAAAUAGAAUAAUUUUUUGUCCUUGAAAUAAGGUAGGAACUAUGUCAUUUGAUCCAAAAAGGGUGAUCGCUCCACCUCAAAACUUCCCAGGAUUGAAUAUUGAAAUUAAGAAACAAGUAAACUAGAUAAAGUCCAGCAAGAGCCUGGAAGGUAGCCCCCAAUGACCAACAAUUGACCACUGAACCACAUGUUGGCACCUCAUUCAUUAUACAAUGUCACAACAAUACAAUCUUCUAUGGAAAACUCAAAAAAGCUCUAAUCCUUGUAGAGAUCCUCCAAAAGCUUAGAACCCUUUCACAAACCUGAUUCCAUCCUAUCAAAAGAUCUCUGUGCCUCAAUGAAGAGGAAAUAGAGAACAAUGCCUAUAAAAUUAGAUGAUAAAAGAAGUAGGAAAGUGCGUCUGGAGUAGUGCAUAAGCAUGGAAUAGCUAAAAAGUUAAAAGGGAAACUCUACUGAAGCCACACAACCUAAACCUCAAGGGGGUGUAGAAUGUCGGCUAGUUAAGUAAAACUACAUUAAAAAAGGUGAGUGCACCAGACAGAGGAUGUUUAGCUGGAUUCAUUUUAGUGCUAGAAAAGAUGGAAUAAGAAAUGAAUGUAUCUAGUCAGAGUUAGAGAUGAAAUCAAUUAAAGCCCACAUGAAGAAAAGUCAUCCAAGAUGGUUCAACCAUGUGAAACAAAGAUCUAUGAAACACCAGGACAGAGUGAUUUAAUUUAAGUAAAUGGCACUAAGAUAGAAGGAGGAAGGAACAAAAGGACAUGGGCAGAGGUGGGGAACCAUUAUAUAAUCACCAAGGAUCUAAUGGAUAAAAUGGCUCCAAAUAGAACAAAAAGGUGAGAAAGGACUUUUUCUAUUAUCCUAAGUGGUUGGUUCUAAUGCUUGGUUCAGUUGGGAACAAGGCAGAUAUAUUACUUUCUUCAAGGCAUUUUGAUUUGGUAGAGAGAGAAGAGAUAAGGUGCUCCUUGUUUUGGUCUAAAUAAGCUUAAGCAUAAGGGCCUCCUAAAACAUAAUUGAGGGAUGAGGGGAUUUGAGCAUUGUCAUGGAAAGGGACUAAUGGCGGCUUGAGGACCCUUGGAUGUACACAUAUUUUUAGGGCCACCUUGGAGGGGUGGCAUUGACAUUUGUAUAGAUAUGAGCCAUAUGUUUUCAUAAAUACCAAAACAAUAAAUUUUAGAAGACAAUUUCCUGGCCAAGAUAGAGCUUCCACAUUUGAAGUUUUCAAGGGGAUGAAAGGCAGUCAUAGAUACUUUCUCAGCCUUGUAGUGAAUCUGCUUCCUGCAUCCAUAUCAUGGUUGUUUAUUUUUGUAUUUAGGCUAUUUUCUCUCAAAGGUUUGCUUAUCCGCUCCACAUUCUUCAUCCCUAAGCAGGAUGUAUUGUCUCAAUCAUGAAGUGGAUAAACAAAUAGUGGAGUGGAAGACAAUUCACCUUCCCCCCCAAUCCCCCUUUUAAGCAUGUUUUCCUCUCCCCAUCAUGUUCUCAUUUUUCCCAUGCAAUUCCACUAAUCAUUGAGGAAAAGGAACAGUGACACAUUAGAAUUGUAAACACUCUAAAAAAUUCAACACAGCAGGUGUCGUUUGUAAAGCCUCAAGUUACAAGAUUAUAAACUUGAGCAAACAUUUGAAGAUCUGAAAAAGUCACAGAAGCCUAAUUACACAAGUACUAUUAGUCAAAUUAAUUUUGUGCAAUUAUGAUAAAUUGGUCUGGCUAAAUGCUAUAAGCUAUCUUUUCAGUUGAUGGGGCUUACAGCAUCUCUGAUGAUUUGAGAUAUUCAAGGAAAUGAUGUUAGAAAAAGCAAAUACUAAAAGCAAUUCACAGGAAAAGGUGCUUAGCACAUACCAGUCAUGCCUAACUCCUAUGAGUCCACGAUCAUAGAUUACAGGCAGGGUGUUGAAUCCACUAACUGGAACAACAUUCAUAACCCAGCAAUCAACUUGGAAAUCAAUUAGUGCUGCUGCAAACCUAUCCAUAAUCAAACUCAAUGUCAUAAAAGUUCCCACUGAAAAAAAAAGAUCUUUUGUUCUCAUUAAAGAAUAAUGCAGAAAUUCAAGAAGACUUCACAAAUGCCUGAAUCUGUGCAAUGGAGUGGUGGAGAUGCAAGAGGAAUGAAAAGAAAAUACCCUCCAAAUCCUGCUCUCAUGUCCAUCACAUUUCUCAAUUUUGAAUCAUUCCAGUGGUAAGCAUGAACAUAACCAUAUAUUACUUCAUGCCAAAAUUUUGUGUCUGCCUUGAGGAUUUCCUUUCUGGAUAUGUAGGCAUCCAUUUCUAUGGUUUGGAGCCUCUCUGGUAGAUCAUUAAGGCGUGCAGGCCAUGCAGUUACAUUAGCCCCAUAGCCAUUCUCAGGUAAUAGAGUGAUGCAUGGCUUCAUUCCAACGUACCUGCAAGAAAGCAAGACAAUUGUCACAACAAUUUUAUUUAUUUUUAUUUCUUCUCCCUUUUAGUGGAUAACUUUAACAAGCCCCUCGGUGAUGUCAAAGUUUGAUUAAGCAUAUUGAUUGUCCGACCAAGCUUUAAGAACAACCCCAACUAGAAGAUUCUGACAUAAUAUGCAAAAAUUAAAGACAUGAUGAUAGUGACUAUGCAUGAAAAAUUUAACGAACAUGCUUGAAAUAACACCUUUUCUCAUUCCGCAUAUUCAUUUCUGUAAGAGCAGAAAUUCUGUUUCUAAUCCAAACUAGUACUCCUUUUUACGGAGAUGUACUGACCAGGAUUGGUUGUUUGAUUUGUUUCUAUCACAUUUUACAUGCUCACAAGAGCUCUAAUAGUGCUAAUAGUUAGUGAAGCAACCAGGAAAUUUUUUUUGAUAGGCAAAUGAGUAAAUGUAUUAAAAGCGCCUAAAAGGAGGCACACCAAUGUACACACGAUGUACACAAAGGCAGCCUAAACUAGGUGAGAAGGAGAUAAAUAAAUAAAAAACCUUCUCCUUACUUGACACUUAGCCAAUCUAUAAAAUCUAUCAAAUUCAUUGACCAGUCCUUUGUGUACACCUUAAACCUAAUUCACAAAAGACUACAUAUACUUAGAUUUGAUUGUUUGAUUCGAUUGCUCAAACAUCAUUAAAAGUCCUUCUAUUCGUCUCUUUCCAAAGAGUCCAUAACAAGCACAAGGGCGUAUACCUCCAGGUUUUUUUUCAUUUCUUCCCUACGAAAGAACCAUGCCAACCGAAAGGUUCUUUUUAACCAAGAAUGCAUCACUCAAACCGUUCCAAAGAGAGAAAGAAUCAGCCACCACAACAUACAAGCUUUGGAAUAGUGGAAAAGCAAGUAAUCUGUUGUUUCUUCCUUGCCUUAACACGAUGACACCUAUUCGACAAAGUCCACCAACUGCUUUUAAGCUAAUCAAGAGUAAGAAUUCUACCUCAAGUCGCUUCCCAAGCAAAGAAACCAACCUUCAGUGAUACCUAAGUGCUCCACACUAUACUAGAUUCUAGAAAGGAAAGGAAAGAGAUAAAUAAACUAUUAGCCUAAGGGUUCUCCUAAUCAGGUUUUGAUGAUAACAAACCAUAAUUAAGUUACUAAUUGAUUUGAAUUAUAAAGAAUUUCAGGUAUUAAUUUGAAAAUUCAUCAAAGGACCUAAUGGAUGCAAGAUCAAGCCUUUUGAAAGACUUUUAUUCAUAGGAAACAUAUGUAAGAUGAAUGCAUGAGUGCAUUUAGGAUUUACAUAUCAUUUCAUGUAUCUUUGAAAAACUCGGUUUAUUCUUUAAAGUUACAGUUCCAUCAAAACCCAAGUUUUAUCAAAUGAACCCAAGGCAAAUCACUUCAAAAUUGACAUAUUAAUUUACCUAAAGACCUUGCCUAAGUGUUAGAAGGGAAAAUAACAAAAAAAUAUAGAUUUUCAGGCCAAAAAUGGUGAACCAGUCGAGGCACUGGCCAACCGGCUCAAUCGGCUAGGGGUACCGGUCAACUGAUUCCCUCUUCCCGGUCGAGGUCCAAUCGAGGAGUGAAAAAAACACUCUCUCUCUUCCAGUAGUCUUUUCUUCUCGGUCGAGGUAUUAGCCUUCGUGAUCGACCUCCGAUCGAGGUCCGAUCGAGGGUAAUGGUCACUUGUCAAGCAUUAAAUGCUCCGACGGCUAGUAAAUCGGUCGACCCCCUAGCUCGACCGGUUGAGACUGCUUUUUGAUUUUUUUGGCUUCCGAGAUUAGAAACCUAUAAAUAGAAAGCUCUACUUCAUUUAUGAGCAAGAGAACACCUGCAUUUAUUUGUCUAACCCACUUAUUCUUGCCGUAAAAGCUCUCAUUCCUUUCUUGGUGCAUUAAAUCUUUAUUUGCAUAUCCUUUAGUGCACCUUUGUGAUUCAUCCUAGCCUUAAGUUUUAUUUGAGCUAUUGUUGAGCUAGGUUGAUAGAUUCAUUCUUGUUAAUUGAGUGUUAAAACUUUCAAGUGAGUUGAAACUUGAAAAGAUUGUGUAAGAGCUCAUUGGAGUCAGAGUCCAAGUGUAAAUGUGAUUGGAAGCUUGGUUGAAGCUUCAAGUUAGUGGAACCCUAACUCAGUUAGGAGCUUGAGGAGAGUGAACAUAAACAAGGAAAUGUCGAACCAUUAUAAAAUCUGAGUUUGAUUUCUCUAACUUUAUCUCUUUUUAUUUGCUCCUUUUGUGCUUAAAUUUGUUGUGUUUAAAAAUAUUUUUUUAAUCCUAAUUCACCCCCUCUUGGAUGUUUUCUCUUUUAAAGAUUAGCCUUUAUUUUCUCAUAAAUUUUAAGUGGAAUUAAUAUUAGUUGGAAUUAAAUUAAAAUUAGUAUUAAUUGAAUUAAAGUAGGAUUAGUAUUUGGAGUCAAAUUAGGAUUAGCUAAUCAGGUUAUAAGACAACUAGAAUUAAAGUCAUAAUGGGUUAUUAGAAUCCUAAUAGACUUUGGAUUUCUUAGAGAAGCCUAUAAAUAAGAUUAAUUGAUGUAAAUCAAAGUAAUUAAUUGAUGUUAGUAAAUUUUUUUUUUUUUUCGAGUGUUACAAUCCUCAAUGGUGAAACUCCAUUGAUCUUCUUUUACGUGAAACUCCUAAAAGGCCUUAGUGAGAUUGUAAGGUUUUUAUAUCUUCUUCUUCGUAUCUUCUUUCUCUAUAUUUUUCAUUUCAUUUUUCUCUACCAUAAACUUUAUUUCUUGUUCCUUUCCUUAAACCCUAAAAAAUAAAAACCUUACCUGACCUAUUUGAUUGUAGUCAACCAUCCUAAGGUUGUCCUACAUCACUUUAUCUUCCCUUGUCAAGGAUGAAAAGAGGGAUCUGACCUAGAAAAUGCCAUUAAUGGACUCAUUUCAUCUUAUUUUGUCCUCUUCACUCUUCACCAAGACCGAUUGCAAUUUUUGCAAGAGAAACUUCACUUCCUCGAGCUCACACAGUCACUAUACUCCAUUGAAAAGCAAAGGUUCCACUCACUCGCUUCCUUAUCUAGCUACCAAGCCUCCAAUACCUAUCAAUCUUUGUUAAAGGCAGAAGAGAACAAGUUCGAGAAGGCUUCUUCCAAGGUAAAUCCUCACAUCAUUAGUCCUUCCAAAAUUUGACCUUUAUCUCAUUCUCAACUGAAAAGUGAGUCCUACUUUUUAUGCCCUCCCACUCAUUUCCAAUGGCUUUCCCCACACCCCUACUCCAUAACCUCCCCUCACACCUCUCGAGCACUACUCCCCUUCCUCCUCUCCAAACUUCCUUAUUAUGAUUUGUUUCCACAACGACCCAUUUUCAGUAGCAAAUCUCUAGUUCUACUUACCAAGCAAAGCCUUGUUUAAAAUAAAAGGCGUGCAUGCCAAGACACUCUUCCUUCUUUCUCUAGUAAACCAUGUUCCAAUUAGCCAAAUGAGAUCUUUUCUCUUAAGCAUCACCUCCUCAUAGAAAGUCUAUUUGGAUCUUCUCGAGUCUUAAAUUGGUCUUUCUCAUAAUGACAAACAAGGACAUGAAAUAAAUCGGAAGGUUUGAUAAAGUGCUUCUGAUCAAGGUAAGUCUCUCUCCCUUAGAAAGGCAAUACCUUUCCACAUCGCUAAUCUCUUCCUGAAUCUCUACUCCAUUGUAUCCCACACCCUCAUAGAUUUGUAAGAGGUUCCCAAAGGGAAAUCUAAAUAGGUAAACAACAACUUCCCAAUUCUAUAACCCAAUACCAAGGCUAAUUCUUCCAUGUUAGCAACUUCCUCGAUAGGAAUUACCUUAGUUUUAUCCACAUUUAUUUUUAAGCUUGAUAUUACCUCAAACCACAUAAAAACCUAACUCAAAUAUCUCAAGAGAUUUGGCAUCACAAAAAAUCAUAAUGUCAUCGACAAACAAAAUGUGACACCCUUCUUACUUCUUUUACCUACCUUAAAACCCGAAAUAAAGCCUUUAAUCUUGGCUCUAGUCAAAUACUAACUAAGAAUCUCCAUUACCAAAAUGAACAAAUAAGUAAAGAGGGGAUUGCCCAACCUCGAACCCUUAGAGCUUUGAAAGAAACCAAAUAGGGUUCUAUUAAAAAGGACAAAAAAGCUUGUUGACGAAAUAGACCAUUUUUUCCAACUAUAGUCUACUUUUGUCAAAACCCAAUUUUAGACAAGACCGCAAGUAAGAAGUCCUUGUUAAUGUUAUCAAAUGCCUUCUCAAUGUCCAUUUUUAAAAUAACCCUUGAAUUGUUGCUCUUCAAGCUCAAGUGACGUCAUUAAUAAGAAGAACUGCAUGCAGAAUUUGUCUACCUUUUACAAAAGCAAGUUGAUAAUGAGAAACCACUUUUCCCAUCACAUUUUUAAGUCAAUCACAAACACUUAAGCUAAGAACUUGUACAAUCUUCCUACAAGAGUAAUGAGUCCGAAGUCUUUCAAAUCUUCUACACCAUCUUUUUUUGGGAUCUAUACCAAAAAAGUGAUGUUUAAGCUUCUUUAAAAAGUACCUUAAGUAAAACUCUCUAAAAGAACCCAUGACCUCAAACUUAACAACAUCCCAACAUGACUACCAAAAAGCCAUAGUAAAGCCAUCUAACCUAGUGACCUUGUCCCCACUUAGACUAGAAAGAGCUACAAAAGCCUCCUCCUUCAAAAUAGCUCCUUUAAUCCCCCGGAACUGUCAUUUUUCAAAACCUCAAAAUCUCAAAACUCAAACCCCCUAAUGCUCAGUCUCUAAUCACCCAUCUCAGAGAGCAGAGAAGGGAAAGCUCUACACACCUCAACCUUAAUCUCGCUCUCCUCAAACAAACUAGUGUCAUUAACUCUUACUUUAGUCAACAAAUUUCUCUUAUUGCACACAUUAGCCAUUUUGUGGAAAACCUAAAAGCAACCAAGAAAAUGAAAUAGAAUAUUUGUUGUCACCUCUUUCUAAAGUAGUCAAACUAAAAGGUGGAUACCCUAGCUUUCAACUAAAGUGGGAGGACUCAAGAGAGAUAAUGGGGUGAAGCUGAAUUUUAUUUUUUUUCCUUUAUUUUGUUGGUAAGAAAUAUUUUUUCCUUUUUCCCCAUGAUGGAAAUCAAACCUAGAACCUCCCACAUCUUUACCAACUCUUUGCUAAUUGCUACAUAAGCCAAGCCUCAAGAUGGGAGUAGAUUUUGGAAGAUGAAACUAUUGAUUGUUUUCUUUAUAUUGCGUUGUCAUUCAUAUCAUCUCAUGUAUUUCCAUCACCUCUUCUUCAUUUUCUUAAAAGCUAUAUUUACAGAUAAAAACUGGAAAUUUUUGUAAAGAAGUUAAUUAACUUCAUGAUCUGAGGAGCUAUACUGCAUGGAUCCAAUCUAAUAUAAUAACAGGAAGAGAGCAACAAGCUGGUUUGAUGCUCCAAUAGAGCAGUUUGGCUGUGAAACUCAUGAACGUAUUUCAAACCCUUGAAGAUAUUUCAGCAAACGAUCUUAGUGUCACAAGAUGGAGAAUAAAAUGGAAUUUUCAAGCAUGGUAAAAGUGGAAGGGAAUUCUUUUAUAAGAAAAUGUUGAAAAUAAUCUUUUCAAAAUCUGCACCUCUGCAGAAACAAGGAUCCAACUGGAACCAUAGAGCCAAACUUUGUUAUAAGUUCAAUAUUUAUGGUUAAUACAGCAUCUAAAUCUCAAAUGGAACUUUACUGAAGAUACUUUAUUGUCAGAUACAGAAGAUUCAUUUUGGAAAGGGCAAAUAUAUUUCCAAACAAGUUGAAUAUAUUCUAUGUCUAAUUUAUCUUUGAUCAAGCACUGAUGCACAUGUUGCUUAACCUAUAUGAUUGAUAGGGAUUGACGUGAAAGGAUCGAUCAAGAAAACUUAGUUUAGCACUAAGAAUGUUAUUUCAAAACUUUGAAUUUGAAGGUGCAAAGUAUGACAUACCAAACAUCAUCUGGAUCAUCAUUAGGAUCACAUAAUGGAGGUUGCACUCCGGUAUCUCGAUUAAGAUAACAACUGUUGUUUAAAGGCUUUCUCCAUAUGGCAAUAUAUCCCUCCUUCUUUACAAGUUCCCAACAAAGGCGAAUUGUGAGGUCCUCCAUUUCUGUCCAUAAACAAACAAAAUAUUUACUAAGAUUCCAAAUAAAUAUGAAAUCACUGAAACAAUAUCAAGCCAAUGUAAACCAAAAAGGAUUAUAAUGAUGAUGGAUAAAAAAGAUAAAAAGAAUUGGAAAUGUCCACGAUGGACAUGAAAUUUUAACCAAAGAUGUCAAGAUAAAGAAUAUAAAACUUCAAAAAGCAAUUCAGAAAGAUAGUGCUAGCCACAAACAUCUGUAUCUAUACUUUGAAUAGGAUGUAUUGGAUGAGCUACCUUUCCACUGUUCUUGGAGGUUCCCUUCAUGUUUAUAAACAGGCUGUGCAGCCCAAGCAAAGUAUCCUCCUGCCCUUAGCAUCCUGUUGACCUCAAGAAGCAGAAUUCCAUCUUAUCACAAGCCAAACAAACAAAAGAAAAAAAAGAAAAAAGAAAAACAGUCAAUAUUAAAGAGCUUUAGUCAUCAAGAAUGUAAGUAUUCCAUCCCUCUUCUGUUUCAAGGAACUACUAAAAGAUCAUAAACACUUCCUAUGGACCCAAAAGGAUUUCAAUCAGAAUACUAAAAAACCAUUAACACAACAUUGGCUUUUAUGCAUAACAUAGAAAAUAUAUACAGAUGAAUAAGUUCAUGUGUUUAGGUUGACAAAUAUAGUUAACAUAGAAAACUGCAUCUUUGUGCUCAAGAUUUACCAAUAGUCAUUUCUUAACCCAGUUUAAAUGGAAAAAGCUUUUCUUAAUAGAAAUACAAAGGAGAAGGGGGCAUACCAUCACGGGUCCAAUUAAUUCUACAUCUUGAGCAAUGUAUCAAGUCAAAAGCCUGGCUUGGAUAUAACAACCGGUGUGUCGCAAAUACUGCUACCAUGGCCGGCACACCACGCUCUAGCGCAAAUUGAAUCUGGUUCUCAUGAACAUCUUUUGGAGCUAUUGAUAGAGUGAUCACAUUACGUUGCAGCAAAAAGGCACCAAAACUGGCCACUCCACAACCAAUGUCCAAGACAACUCGGGUGUGGUUACCAAAUGCAAUGUCAGGAACCAUCUGCAUAUUCAAGUCAAAAGAUGGGGACUAAUACAAUGUAAAUACAAACAAUACCAAGUCAGAAUUGUAGAAAUGGUCAACCUGUGAAAUCUGAUCCAAGUAUUGAUCUGCUCCAUGAAUAAAUUGUGUUCCACCUCCUGGAAAUACAAAUUUAUCACCUUUUAUUGAUAUCCAAUUCUGGCCCCCUUUAUCUUCAACCAGUCGUGUAUGGGGUACAUUGCUGAACCACACCUGUCAUUGGACCCUAAAGUUAGUUCAGAACUAGAGAAAGGAACUUAACUAUAACAAACUUUAAGAAACAGUAAGUCAACCAAAUAACAGUCCCUCUCUCUCUCCCUCCCUCUUGACCACAGAGAACUUGUCUUUGAUUGUUUCAAUCUUUUCCACUUGCUAUAAUAGGAUGUAAGCAUGUUAAAUGCAGCUAUAAUGACUUUGUUUCCUUUCAUCGAACAAAGAAUAAUUUUUCACUUCUUCAAGCUGCAUAGGCUAAAGACACAAUCCCUAGUUUUGUCCCAUCCUCUACUAUUCCCUUUUGUUCAUUUAAUGUUUCAAAAUGGAAAUUUUCACUGUUGAGUCUGGAGAUGAAUCAACCAUAAACUUUAAUUUAUUUCUUUUUGAGAAUAGUGUAAGGAACUUAAGUCUAGUCCUAACCAAUAUUACGCCUUGUUUUAUAUUUUGUAAGAGUCUCUUGGCUUAGAGUAUACCAGAAUUUCAAUUUGGAGCACAAUGCCAUCAUUUAUAAACCUUGUAAGCUAUUUGUUGCAACAUCAUAGUGCAAACUAUUCCACUCACAAAAAACAAUCAAAUGAAUUUUUAUUCUAUACAUAACAAGUUUGCUUGAUCAAAACAUGCCUGAAACUCAUCAACCAAAACUUGCAACAUCAACUAAAUGAAAUCGUUUCUAGUUAACUCCCAUCCCAUCAAGUAGGGUUCAUCAUAAGCGACUCAACUACCAAUAAGCUGCACUUUGUGACAGUUCCUUGGCUUAAUAUAGAUGAAUUUCAAAAUUCAAAUAGGCGUACAAUGCCUUUUAUAUAUAAGCCUAGUAAGCUAUUUGUUGCAAUAGCACAGUGCAAACUAAUACGUACAGAGAAGAUUAAUCAAAUGAAUUUAUUCUAUACAUUAACAAGUUUGCUUGCUCAAAACAUGUCCGAACUUGAUCAACUAAAAGAAAUCUCUUUUUGGUUAACUUUCAUCCCAAUAAGUAGGGUUUAGCAUAAAUUACUCAACUACCAAUAAUCUGUCCACCAUCACCAGUACAAGCAAUGGAAACUAAAAUGCAUAUUCAAACAUGAAAAUCAAGGAAAAUAUCAAAAUAAAUUAAAAUCGCCACAUUUAUUUUUUCAGAUUACCUCAUCUCUACUUGCCGGCCAAGGAAUCCGAGGCUUGUAACCUUGGGGCAUCGGAACCAAACAAUCCAAUCCUUCCCCUUUCCCCGGACAAUGCCGCUCGUAUUUCUCCCCCUUUUCCGUCGAAUUCAAUCUUGCGAUCUCCUUCACAUUGUCCAAACAAGGUAUGUAAUCUUGCAUACUCGCUUCACACACCCUAAAAUUCUCAAUCUUAACCGUAGAAUCCCUAUUUCCAACCUUUUUUUCCUCUUCUCCAUCCAAAUUCCCCAAAUCCUCCACCGAAUGCGGAUCUAACUCGCCGACCUCGAACUCCACCGACAUCGCCCCGUCCUCAUCAACAAUUCCUAUCCUCUCCACAGCCGGCGGCGGAGCAUUCUUCGAGUUCUUGGGCGGCGAACCGGGAAUCGAAGGGGGAGCGGUCAGGUUCAAGUUCUGGUCGGAGAACUUGCCGACAUUGGGAGAAACACCGACGGCGACAUCGAUGAUGGAAUCAGUUUGCGGCGAAUGGAAAGUUGAGAAGAACGAGAGCUGUCGGUAGCCGUCGGAAUAGUGCUUGCCGAGGUAGAAGCAAGAGAGAACGAUAAUGGCAAAGGCAGUAAUUUUGAUGAAUGCCGGAGUCUUAAUGAAGUUUAAAUUGGGACCAAUAUCUUUCAUGGCGGCAGAGAGGAGAGAUCUGAGAGUGACCGUGAACUUCAAAUCUGGAAUUUCCCUGAGAAAAUCAGAGACAGUGAAAGAAAAAGAAGGAGCGUGUGUAGCGUGUUUCAAAUCGCCACUGGAUUUUGAUGGGCGAAGUUGUACUCUCUGGGCUGCAAGCUGGUUUGUACUUUGCCUCACGUGUUCUCUCAGCCUAUAUCCUGGUGCUCAAAAUCAAAUUUUCAAUUUUAUACCUUUAUUUUUUCAAUUUUCAAAAUUUUAAAAUUUAAUUUAAAUAGAAUAAAACUCCAACCGAAAAUACUAAAUAAUUGAUAAAAUAAAUAAAUUGAAUAAAAAAAAAAAGAUGCUUUUUCGUGAUUUAUUUUAUUAGUUAAUGGCAAUGUAUUGUGGAAGACUGAGAAUAAAAAUAUAAAUAAAAAAUUUCUAAUAAUAGGUUUUGAGAAUAAUUUUUAUUUUUAUUUUUUAAAUAUAAUUUAAAACUUUAAGUAAAUUUAUUGGAUAUCAAUUCAUACUUAUACAUAAAGACAACUCAAAAUUUAUUAUUUUCAAUCCCCAUCUCUCGAGUUUUUUUUUUAAAUAAUGUAUUUUUUAAAAUAUUUUUAAAACUAUUAUAUUCUUAAAUUUUAAGUAUGACUCAUUUUUUAAAAGAUGAAUACAUAUAAAAUAUAAAAAAAUAAAUUAAUUUUUUUAAAAAUACGAGUUAAAUAUAAAAAAAAUUAAUAAAAAUAAAACUCAUUUAAAAAGAUAAAAUAAAAAAAAUAAACUCGUCUUUAUUUUCUGGGAGGAACAUGGAGAUUAGAGAUGGGCAUAUUAAGAAGGUGAUUUUAGGUCAAAGGUGAGAAUUAAUGGGUACCUGUAACCUAGAUGGUGAUGGGCAGGGAUUUCCAAGACAUUGGGAAUCUGAAAAUGAUCACUUUAUAAUUCGAUGGUCGGUCGAAAUCAACUCGAGUACGAUGAAAAAUAAUAAUAAAGAACUAAAGAACAGGCAUACUGGGUAAAGAAUUUAGUAUUAAUUAAAUUAGAGUAUAGAUGUAUUUUAACAAAUCGGAUGAGUUAGCCACGUUGGAUGUGGGAUUAUUGAUUUUUCAUAAGCAAACAACUUGUGACGGCUUGACAGCCUGUAAAAUAAAUUAUUAUUAUUAUUAUAUAAGGAUUUUUUGUGUGCAUUUUCUAUCAAAUUAUAUUUUUUUAAAAUUAUUUUACAGGGUUUUUGAGGUUUUUAAAGUCUUAUCAAACAUCUGAUUUUUAUAAGAAAAAUGUUUGAAAGUAUUAAAAAAAAUUAUUUGAACCUUCAAAAAAUCAGCAUAUAACAAAUUUUCUAUAUUUAUUAUAGAUUGAUUAGGAUGGAAAGAUUGAAAAAUGGGAGAUCAAUGCAAAUUGAGGAUUUGAGAGAAAAAAAAAUCUUAGAAUUAUGUUGGGACGUCAUUUUUUUUGUUCGAGCAGGGCUGUAGAGUAUAUUUGGCUCUAUGUUAGUCAUGGGCAUCACAUAGUAGCCUACUCAGGAUUCGAACUUGGGUCCAGGCCUUAAGGCUUAGGAUGUUACCCUAAGGUCCUAAGUUCGAAUCCUGGGGAGGCCACUCUGUGAUGCCCAUGACUGGCAUAGAGUCAAAUAUACUCCACAACCCUACCCGGAUAAAAACAAAUGACGUCCCAACAAAUUAUAGUUGACAUUUUAUGACAAAUAUAACUACCAUCCAUUUGUUUUAAAUUGGAUUAUAAAAUUAUAAUUUAUAUUUAUGGGAUGAGAAAUCUAGGUAUAAAAAUUCAAAUAUCUAAUUACUUAAGUAUCUUAAUUAAAAAAAAUGAUGCUUUGGUAAAUUAAUAUUUAAUAGAAAGUGUUAAAAAUUAUAUUUUAUAUGAAACUUAAAGUGUUGUUUGGCAAAUAUUUUCAAAAACAGUUUUAAAAUAUAAUUUUUCAAAACAAUUUUUGAAAACUAUUAUAUGAAUAUUUAGUAAAACAAAAGUAUGUUUUUUAAAAUAAUAUUUUUUUAAAUAAUAUUUUUAAAAAUAACUUUUAUUUUUAAUCAUUUUAUAUCAAUAUUUUUUAAAACAAUUAUCAUAAAAUAAUUAAAUGAUAUUAUUUAAAAACACUCUAAUUUAUGUUUUUAAGAACAUAAAACAUAAAAUAGUUUAUAAUUAUUAAAUAUGUUUUUUUGUUUUUGAAAAAUAAAAAACUGUUUUCGAAAAUAGUUAUCAAAUAAACCAUAAAUCUUUUCAUAGCACUUCUUUUAAAAAAAAAUUCAAUAAAAUUUAUGAUUACCCUCCACAUUUAGUAACUACAAAGUGAACAAACAUGUGUAACACAAACAAGAAAAAGUAGUCCUGCUUAAAAAUGGUUUUCCACCUUAUUUUUCUUGUCAAAUAAUUUUACUAAAACAUAAAAUAUUGUAUUCACAAAAUGCACAAAUCUAUGUGUGCGGAACAAGAAAAAAUGAAAGCGGAAAGUUGCGACCCAACUUCUAGAAAAUUAAUGAUAUUUAUUCCUAUGCCCCCUAGGAUUUAAUUAAGGUUUUUUUUUUCUAUUUUGGUGACUUUGUACAAAGCCCCAAAAGCCCAAGUCAUUUCUCAAGAGGACCAAACCAAUACUGCCAAAAGGAAUACUUGGAAUAUGUUUAAGGUUGGACCAAGGAUUUGGUAAGUUGGUGGUGGUGGAUUCUUUCUUCACGGACUGAACUUCUCAGAACUUUACCAUUGCACAAUUUUUGAAUAUUUUUUAAAGGUCAAAAAGAAGACUUUAGGCUAUUGAUGAGUACUUUUCCCAUAUCACCUCAAGAUAUGCAACUUCCUUAACAACCUUCUUCUUUUACCGUCAACUCCGCACCAGCAACCCAAUUCCCUUAGUUGAAUUUUGGAAUCGUAGUUUAGAAAGUUUAAGAGAAGGUUCAGCCACCCAACUGAGGGAAGAAGACUUGGGAUAGUAUGAAUGGGAUGGGAUGAGAAUUAUUGGCCACCUAAAUGAGUUUUGACUUUCAAAGAUUUUUUGUUGGCAGUUUUCAGGGAAGUUUCACCUUGUUACUGGGUCGUCUUAAAUACCCAACGCUUUCGAUAUCAUUGAAUACUAUUUUCUCUUAUUUACAAAGGAGCUUAUAUUUUCAAAACACGAGUUCUACAUAGAAUUCAAUCCAACACAAAUUACAAGUUCAAAAAAAAUAAAUAAAUAAAUAAAAUUAUUUAGUUGGGUAUUUUCUAUUUUUCUUUGUUUAAAUGUAAUUUUAGUUACCAAGGCUUAUGAUCAUGGCUUAGCUUUUUCCCAAUCAUUGAUGCAAUGAAAUCUUAAAGCAUAUUUUAACCUUAAUCCAUGUCUCCAUACCACAAGUACGAUGUUUAUGCAUAUGCCAUUUUGAUUUAUUAUGUUACAAAACAUCCAACCUCUGGAAUCCAAAUACUGCAAGGCAAAAGUAAGUUUGGGCUUUUCCAGAAGUUGCCAGAACCCUCCAAAUCCCAUCCCGUACUCCCUCUUUAUGAAAACCAAAACCAAAAACAAACUGAUUCACGUCUUGUCAAAACAACCCAAAAUAGAAUAAAAAUAACCUGAUUGUUUAGCUAUUUUUUGAAAGCAUAUUUUUGGUUGAGUUUGUCAAACGAGAACAACAUUCAAUAAUGGAAACUUCUCUGCAAUUAAUUAAUAUAAAGAUUUAUAAUACUAAUAAUACUAAUAAUAAUAAUAAUAAUAUAUAGUUUCCGAUUCACGAAAUUUUACAGUGGAUUAUUGAGAUGAUAACAAAAAAAUAUAUAUAUAGGAACGAAGAUUAAUGAUGGGGUAGUGGUACAAAGAUGAAAAGCAUGGAUGCAGAAUCAUGAUGAAGAUGGAUGGAUGGAGUUCAGAUGGUACUGAGGAGCAUCAUGUUCUUGAACUCCUCAAAAUCAAGAACCCCGUCAGAGUUGGUGUCAUACACCUUGAUCAUGCUCCUGCAAUCACCUCCACCAUUCUCCUCCCACAUUCCCAGUCUGGACAGCACGCUCUGAAGCUCAUCACAUGUGAUGAACCCAUCUCCGUUCAAGUCAAACACCCUGAAAGCCUUCGCUAGGUCACCCACGUCCUCCUCCUCCUCCUCCUCCUUCACCUCCUCUUCCUCCACCUCGCUCUCUCCCUUUUUCUCGGUCGAAAUGGAUUCAUAGAACACCAAGAACUCAUUAAAAUCGAGGGUGGUGUUCCCCACGAGGCUCUCCAGCUCAUCCAGGCUGUACUGCACACCAACUCUCUC